UACGUAGGUGACAAGCGUUAUCCGGAUUUAUUGGGCGUAAAGCGCACGCAGGCGGCUGAUUAAGUCUGACGUGAAAUCUCUCGGCUUAACCGGGAGCGGUCGUUGGAAACUAAUUGGCUUGAGGCGAUGAGAGGGGUGUGGAAUUCCCGGUGUAGUGGUGGAAUGCGUAGAUAUCGGGGGGAACACCCGUAGCGAAGGCGGCCACCUGGGCCGGCCCUGACGCUGAGGCGCGAAGGCCAGGGGAGCGAACGGG
rnacentral:rRNA from 1 species